UACGUAGGGUGCGAGCGUUGUCCGGAAUUAUUGGGCGUAAAGAGCUUGUAGGCGGUUUGUCGCGUCUGCCGUGAAAUUUCGAGGCUCAACCUCGAACUUGCGGUGGGUACGGGCAGACUAGAGUGUGGUAGGGGAGACUGGAAUUCCUGGUGUAGCGGUGAAAUGCGCAGAUAUCAGGAGGAAUACCUGUGGCGAAGGCGGCCAACUGGACGAGUACUGACGCUGAGACACGAAAGCGUGGGGAGCAAACAGG
rnacentral:rRNA from 1 species